UACGAAGGGGGCUAGCGUUGUUCGGAAUUACUGGGCGUAAAGCGCGCGCAGGCGGCUAUCCAAGUCAGUGGUGAAAGCCCGGAGCUCAACUCCGGAACUGCCAUUGAAACUGUUUAGCUUGAGGACGAGAGAGGUGAGUGGAAUUCCCAGUGUAGAGGUGAAAUUCGUAGAUAUUGGGAAGAACGCCGGUGGCGAAGGCGGCUCACUGGCUCGUAUCUGACGCUCAGGCGCGACAGCGUGGGGAGCGAACAGG
rnacentral:rRNA from 1 species